AUUGAACGCUGGCGGCAUGCCUUACACAUGCAAGUCGAACGGCAGCACGGGGGCAACCCUGGUGGCGAGUGGCGAACGGGUGAGUAAUGCAUCGGAACGUGCCCAGUAGUGGGGGACAACCAGUCGAAAGAUUGGCUAAUACCGCAUACGACCUAUGGGUGAAAGCGGGGGACCGUAAGGCCUCGCGCUAUUGGAGCGGCCGAUGUCUGAUUAGCUAGUUGGUGAGGUAAAAGCUCACCAAGGCGACGAUCAGUAGCUGGUCUGAGAGGACGACCAGCCACACUGGGACUGAGACACGGCCCAGACUCCUACGGGAGGCAGCAGUGGGGAAUUUUGGACAAUGGGCGCAAGCCUGAUCCAGCCAUGCCGCGUGCGGGAAGAAGGCCUUCGGGCUGUAAACCGCUUUUGGCAGGAACGAAACGGCGACUUCUAAUACGAGUCGUUAAUGACGGUACCUGCAGAAUAAGCACCGGCUAACUACGUGCCAGCCGCCGCGGUAAAAC
rnacentral:rRNA from 1 species